CGUGGGGCUCUCGGCGCCGCAGGCGCUUCCCGGCCCUGUCUGGCCUCGGGCUCCGCCGCUUCGCAGCCGAGUCUGGGACUCGGGACUCAGCUGCCCGCUGCUGCGCGGCUCCUCCAUGACCCCGCGCCCCGCCCGGGACCGGCCCUCUCGCGCACUGGCCCUCUUCUCGGCUUCCUCUUGAGCUUUCCUCGGACAGGGGCACCGUGCGCUCCCGGGCCACCGUCGCUCUGCCUUCGGCUCUCUGGGGCCGGGGAUUCCGGAUCGGAAGCCGGGAUGCGGGCCGGGGCGCGCACAGACGCUAGGCGGCCCAGCCCGGGCGCCGCUGGCACGGGCUCGCGGCUCCCGGCAAAAACCCGUCCGACUGGCUGGGCCACUCCCGCCUGACGCCCCCCCAGAUGACACGACUAGCUCUCCAGGCGUGCUGCCUUUGCCAGUCUACCCGCCAGGUUGUUAGAACAGGCGGCACCUCGUCUUCUGCGUGUCCCUGCAGAGCCCCGGCACAAUCAGACUGCCCCAAGCCAACUCCGAAACCCGAAAUCCCCGCUCCGGCGCUUGCCCGCCGCCGCCAAAGUUGUGGAAACAGCUUUGACUUUAUUCUCCUCUCUCUCUCCUUUCUUAUCUUUUUUGCCUCGCUUACACACGCAUUCACAUUUGCCCCCACAGGAUCCCUCUAUGGGUGCAAGUUCAUCCCCCACCUAGCCACCCACCCCACCCAGUCGGCGCCUAGAGCCGCUCGGAGGUUCGGACCCCGCCCGCCGAGAGCGCCCACACCUGGAGCUGGGUUUCGGCCUCUGCGAAAGUGAAAUGCCCGAGCCUCCAGCCAAAGCCCAGACCAGUACAGUAUGAACUGUCCUAUGAGACUGAGGGGCUCAGUUUCAUUCCUCCCUGCCCGCAAAGCUCGCCCCCAGCCUCGAAAACAAAGCUACUGGUCUGACGCGGGGUCCCUGCGCCCUUCCCCCAGCGCGACAGGACCCACCAGAGAAGAACCGGCACCCGUGGGAUGUCACCCCGUCCCCAUCUACCGGGAUGGGGGGCCUGAAAGGAGAAAGAUUUAAAAUAGUCUUCAGAAAGAAAAGGGAGGAGGGAGCGGGUGACACAUCGUUCACAUAAACCCGAUUUCUGGUUUCCAGUGAAGUCAGGAUCUCCGCCCCUGCGCCUGCACACCUCCUGCCUAACAUUCUCAGCUCCAAAUGCCAAAAACUAAGGGGGGAAAAAAAACAGCAAAAGUUGGGACUGCCACCUAUUUAUUUAGGGAAUCUCCAGCCCUACACACCCCAACCCCGCUCUCGGACUCAUUGCUCAUUUCAGUGAUGGUUGUGACCGUUCCCAGCGCCUCCUGCGGGUGGACCGGUAGCGCUAGGGUCUCCCUUGCUGCCUCAAGAAGGCGAGCUCAGGGGACUCUAGGUUUUAAAAUGGGUUCCAAAGCGGCGCGCUCUGUCGGCCCAGCGGGCUCGCGGCACCAGAGGUGGUCCGCAGCCGCGCAAGGAUUCCCACGGUCGUUCUGGGCUGGUGCAGAAGCUGGUGCUCCAGUGCCCAGCGGCCAGCAGGCUCGGCGAGGCACAUCUCCCCACCCCACCCCCACACACCCCCGUGGAGUGCGUCGAUCCUGUAGCUUAGAGGGAGAAGCUACUUAGAACUUCUUGAACCACAGAGGAUCUGGAGCGAGCCCCGCAGCUGGAAAGAGUGGUCUUAAGUUGAACCCGCUUACAGUAAGAUGCAGCCCAGAUCACAGCGAAGUGUGGGGGCCCGUCUCUAAAGCCGAGAAGGGAACCGCUUUAGAAAGUGGCGUGGGGGGAAGAAAGAAAGAAUGAAUGAAUGAAUAGAAAGAAGAAGGAAUAUUAAAGAUCGGAGAGGAAGUUGAAGAGAGAAGAGUUUUCUCUUUCCUUUCUGUUCCUGGUGACUUGGGCCCUCAGAAUCUCGAUGAGGAUAACACGAGGAGUGCACAGGCAAGUGCCCAGUGGCCAGCAAUUGCUUCAAAAGCCCAUGUUCUUCUCUUCGCCCCACUCUUAGGCACAGCCAAAAUUGGUCAGAAAGGGGAGUAAAGUGGGACACGGGCUUCAAAGUAGGGAAACCAAAGAAGGGAGCAUCCACGUCCUCCCUCUCCAGCUUCUCCCCCGCGUUCUUCGGGCGAAUCCGAGGGGCGGGCGCUGCGCUGGGGAAAGUUUGUCCCACCCGCGUUUCGCAGCUGGUUGCAAGGAGAGGAGGAGGAGAGGGAGGGUCGAGCUCGGAGCCUGUGGGCGCAGGGAUGAUCGAGCCGGCGUCGCGCUUACCUCGCAGUCCUCGUACUUGAUAUUAUCUGUCAAUUUCCAAAGCAUUUUCAUGGAUCGGCGUGAACGGAUAUGCCCCUCUCCGUCUCGCACGCAAGUGGAGCUACUCUCUGGCUCUUUACCAACAGCCUAAUCGCCUCAUUAGCAUAUCAACAAUAGUCCAAUUGCUCGCCAGUACCACAAUCUGCCGCCGGCCGCUCCGACACAGGUAUAAAGGCCUCUCUACGCCGCGAACUUGCUUCUAGAGCGCACUCUAGCCUGCGAACUGAUAAAACCUUUCUUGAGCUCCGCCGCGAGCCCCUGUCCCAGCACCACCUCUCUUACCCCAAUUCCGCCACAUUCCCCUUCCUUUCUCUCUCCGCUUCCUUUUCUCCAGAGAUGCCUUCUGCAAAGCCCGGCACUGCUCAAAGUCCAAGCCGCCACGCCUGGGGCCCGGCUUCUAGCACUUCUCCCUUAACCCUACUACCACGAUCCGAGCUGCCCUUUUGGCCCCGUGCAAUUUUAUUAGAAAUCAUUAUCCCUUUCGCAAUUAAACAUAACCACCAAACCAAGACCGGCGAAGUUACUCCAAAAUUUUUGCCCAACAAGGGAUCGCCUCCGCUUGCGGCAGCCACCCCCUCGGGCCGCAGCGCCUUGGGAGUUUUAUUGGCUUUGAGCUUUCCCCCAGGUCGGAGAUUCUGCCAAGCGACUCCGGUGGCUCUGCUGGGGUUUGCAAUCCCUUAAUUGCGGCGUGUAAAAUAAAAGUUGUACCCUGAAGAGGUUACUUGACAGCUUCGGGGGUUAAACAAUUUUCCUUCGGUUUGUGUGAAGCUAGGGCCAACUGACAGUUCAACUUGGUGUUCAGGCUAAGGUUUCCUAGGUGCGACUUUACUGCACACCCGCUUCUGAAGUUGAGCCGAAAUACAGACAUGUGUGUGCCUGCAAGUCUAGAUACCGUCUCAUGCAUGCAUCAAAAUAAAUCACCGGGAACCGACUCUUAGCUGUGUUAAUCUGCUCUAGUUUUCCCAAGAUUCCCCUUUUUAAUUAAAGCAGGGAGAGUUCCUUCAUGAUUUGGUGAUGCUACUAACGCAGGCGUGCUCGCGAGGCAGAGCCCGGCUGCCGCGCAACCUGGAGGCCUGGGAGCCACCUCCUCGUCCAGAUUGGUCAGUCCGGGCUUUUGGACUCCUCACAGGAGCCUGCUGGCUCCUCCGGGGCUUUUAUCCCUUUCGUUUUUGGGAUUUUUUUUAAGUAAGAAAAAAGAAAAGAAAAGGACCUAAUGUGACACUAUGAAAUACAGAGUAAUUAAUUUUC